rnacentral:rRNA from 1 species
UAGGGAAUCUUCCACAGUGGACGCAAGUCUGAUGGAGCAGCGCCGCGUGAGUGAAGAAGGGUUUCGGCUCGUAAAGCUCUGUUGUUAAAGAAGAACGUGGGUAAGAGUAACUGUUUACCCAGUGACGGUAUUUAACCAGAAAGCCACGGCUAACUACGUUCCAG